AACGAACGCUGGCGGCAUGCCUAACACAUGCAAGUCGAACGCGUGUAGCAAUACACGAGUGGCGCACGGGUGAGUAACGCGUGGGAACCUGCCCAGUGGUAGGGAAUAACUGCGGGAAACUGCAGCUAAUACCCUAUACGCCCUACGGGGGAAAGUUUUUCGCCAUUGGAGGGGCCCGCGUCGGAUUAGCUAGUUGGUGAGGUAAGAGCUUACCAAGGCGACGAUCCGUAGCUGGUCUGAGAGGAUGAUCAGCCACACUGGGACUGAGACACGGCCCAGACUCCUACGGGAGGCAGCAGUGGGGAAUAUUGGACAAUGGGGGCAACCCUGAUCCAGCAAUGCCGCGUGAGUGAUGAAGGCCUUAGGGUUGUAAAGCUCUUUCGACGGGGACGAUGAUGACGGUACCCGUAGAAGAAGCCCCGGCUAACUUCGUGCCAGCCGCCGCGGUAAAAC
rnacentral:rRNA from 1 species